AGAGUUUGAUUAUGGCUCAAGAACGAACGCUGGCGGCAGGCCUAACACAUGCAAGUCGAGCGCGCCCUUCGGGGUGAGCGGCGGACGGGUUAGUAAUGCGUGGGAACGUACCCUUUGGUAGGGAAUAGCCACUGGAAACGGUGAGUAAUACCCUAUGAGCCCUUCGGGGGAAAGAUUUUAUCGCCAAAGGAUCGGCCCGCGUUAGAUUAGGUAGUUGGUGGGGUAAUGGCCUACCAAGCCUACGAUCUAUAGCUGGUUUUUAGAGGAUGAUCAGCAACACUGGGACUGAGACACGGCCCAGACUCCUACGGGAGGCAGCAGUGGGGAAUCUUGGACAAUGGGGGCAACCCUGAUCCCAGCCAUGCCGCGUGAGUGAAGAAGGCCUUAGGGUCGUAAAGCUCUUUCGCCUGUGAAGAUAAUGACGGUAGCAGGUAAAGAAACCCCGGCUAACUCCGUGCCAGCCGCAGC
rnacentral:rRNA from 1 species